rnacentral:misc_RNA from 1 species
GAUGAAGAACGCAGCGAAAUGCGAUAAGUAAUGUGAAUUGCAGAAUUCAGUGAAUCAUCGAAUCUUUGAACGCACCUUGCACCCUUUGGCAUUCUGAAGGGUAUGUUCGUUUGAGUGUCAUUGUACUCUCACACUCCCGAUCUUUGCAUUGGGAGCAGUGGACUUGGGUUUGCUGCUUCACCGUCGCUUACCUCAAAUAGGUUAGUGCAACUCUUGGUUGGACAUAGUACGGCGUGAUAAGUGUUCUUCGCCGGUGCCUCGCAAAGAGGGUGGCCGAUCGGGAUGUUGUGCUCCAAACCGUCUUCGGACAAUCUCUGACGACUUGACCUCAAAUCGAGUAAGACUACCCGCUGAACUUAAGCAUAUCAAUAAGCGGAGGA